GAUGAACGCUGGCGGCGUGCCUAAUACAUGCAAGUCGAGCGAACAGAUGAGGAGCUUGCUCCUCUGACGUUAGCGGCGGACGGGUGAGUAACACGUGGAUAACCUACCUAUAAGACUGGGAUAACUUCGGGAAACCGGAGCUAAUACCGGAUAAUAUAUUGAACCGCAUGGUUCAAUAGUGAAAGACGGUUUUGCUGUCACUUAUAGAUGGAUCCGCGCCGCAUUAGCUAGUUGGUAAGGUAACGGCUUACCAAGGCAACGAUGCGUAGCCGACCUGAGAGGGUGAUCGGCCACACUGGAACUGAGACACGGUCCAGACUCCUACGGGAGGCAGCAGUAGGGAAUCUUCCGCAAUGGGCGAAAGCUUGACGGAGCAACGCCGCGUGAGUGAUGAAGGUCUUCGGAUCGUAAAACUCUGUUAUUAGGGAAGAACAAAUGUGUAAGUAACUAUGUACGUCUUGACGGUACCUAAUCAGAAAGCCACGGCUAACUACGUG
rnacentral:rRNA from 1 species